AGGGUCAUUACUGAACCGCUGACACGAGUUGUUGCUGGUCUCCAAACGGGGGCAUGUGCACGCUCUGUUUGUGCAUCCACUCACACCUGUGCACCUUAUGUAGUUCUGUGGCCUGGGGGACUUGUCCUCCUGCUGUGGUUCUGCGUCUUUACACUCACGCUGUGAUAAAGUCUAAUGGAAUGCAUGCCGCGUUUAACGCAAUACAAUACAACUUUCAGCAACGGAUCUCUUGGCUCUCGCAUCGAUGAAGAACGCAGCGAAAUGCGAUAAGUAAUGUGAAUUGCAGAAUUCAGUGAAUCAUCGAAUCUUUGAACGCACCUUGCGCCCUUUGGCUAUUCCGAAGGGCAUGCCUGUUUGAGUAUCAUGAACAUCUCAACUCCUCACGGUUUGCCCGCGACGAGCUUGGACUUUGGGGGUCUUGCUGGCCUGCAGGUUGGCUCCUCUCAAACGAAUCAGCUUGCCAGUGUUUGGUGGCGUCACAGGUGUGAUAACUAUCUACGCUUGUGGUUUUCCACCAGGUAACUUCCAGCAAUGGAGGUUCACUGGAGCUCACAAAUGUCUCUCCUCGGUGAGGACAGCUCUUUGAACGUUUGAUCUCAAAUCAGGUAGGACUACCCGCUGAACUUAAGCAUAUCAAUAAGCGGAGGAAAAGAAACUAACAAGGAUUCCCCUAGUAACUGCGAGUGAAGCGGGAAGAGCUCAAAUUUAAAAUCUGGCGUGCCUAUGGUCGUCCGAGUUGUAGUCUGGAGA
rnacentral:rRNA from 1 species